GCCGCUCAGGAAACGAUUUGCCUGUCGCAUUAUGCAGAGGCCAAUUUUCCAUGAGGGGUUUCGUGUGUGUGGCUGCUGGAAAACCAAGGAGGAGGCAUGGACCACCCUCAACAGGAGACCUUAAGAGAAACCUGUCCCAGAAUAGUCUAUAGCCCAGUCUGAGGGAGGACUCCUGGGUUUAAGUCCUUGCUCCACAUCAGGCAGAAUGGGGAUUUGACAUCAGGUCUGCCACAUCCUGGGGUCAGGAAUUUAGAAGCCGCAGCAGCUUGAGGAGACUGAUGUAACAGUGGAGGCGGACUGAAGCUCUCUGUUUAUUCACAGUGCUGGGAAGCAGGACAGAAAAGCUCAAGGCAAGCUUCCUUACGACAUUCCAAAAGCAAACUGCAUGCCUGACCUGAAGUGAUCAGCCCCUGGGGAACAGGCGGGUAACUAAGACUUAGUGCUCAGUCAUUCAUGAGCUUCUUUCUGUAAAGCUGCCAGGGGAGCCAAAAUUGUAUAUGUGUCAAUAUGUGCGUGUGUGGUUUAAUGAUGCAGGCUACUGUUAACUGUGGGCUAAGCUUCAACCAUCAAACCCCAUUUCGUUUGCUCCCGUGUGCCAAAUUUAAACAUGCCAUUCCAGCAGUGAAAGGUCUGCUCACUAUACCACAGCACUAGCUAGUCAUCCUGCUGGAAAAUAUUUCGAAGUCUAGCAAGGAAUUCAAAUUUGUCUUGAACUACUUCUCUGUUCAUUUAACAGACAAAAGUUUUUGUGGCUGUCAGUCCCACAGAACCUAUGCUAUAGAUAAACACAUUUGCUUUUGCAACAAAGCUAAACUCAUUGGGUUUGGCAUUUGAAUUUCAUUUGUCCUGAAGAUUUCAUUUGUGCUUUCCCUCCUGCCUUCUUACCUUUAAUCUUUUGUGUAGGAAAUGAAAAAUCAGUCUAGGCAUGUACUUAAAAAUGCCCAAAACCUUAGAACUUCUCAUUUCAUGCUGCCAAAAUGUUAAUCUAGGUAUUUGAGCUUCAGUUUUAAUAAGUGCUAUUAUCAGUCACACUGCAGAAAAACUGGCUUAACUGACAGUUAUGCUGAAACUGAACCUGCAUAUUAUAAUUGCAGAGAAAACUAGUUGCAGUUUGGAAACCAGUAUUUCCCUCUUCAACAUAUUUUCUUGUCAGAUCUACAGCUGCAUGUUUGUCAUAGACAAGCAGGCCAAAGCAGAUACUAUGGGGGUGAGCUCCUUAAAAGAUGCCAUUAUUAUUUUGCUUUGUUUAUUGCCAAGGAUGAGCUUCACAUUGUAGAAGACAUGGAAGACGACACGGUCCCCUGCAUCAAGAAUUUUACAGCCUAAAGGCCCAAUCCUACAGUCCUUUACCCAUGUGAUUAGUCCUUACUCAAAACAGGGUUUCAUCCUGGGGCUAACUGACAUCAGUGGACGGUCCCACUGAUUUCAGUAAUGCAUAAGAACAUAAGCCCUUCAGUAGGAUCACUCACCUGAGUGAGAGGUUGCAAUACAAGUUCCAAGAUGCACAGGCCACACAAAUCGGAGACCCCAGGAAACCAAGAGAGUGCUUUUGGUGUGAAUUUCUUUUGGGAAAAAAAAUGGAGUGGGUGAAAGCAUUUUGAUUGCUUCUCUUUUACAUCUAAUAAGAUACGGCCCUAAAAAUCUCAGUACACACAAGACACACGUUGUUCAGGCAGGGUUUCUCCUAAGUAGGGACAAGUCACCAAAGGGUCUCCCAGUGUAACCCUCAAAGUAGAAGAACAUAUAUGGAAACUGCUUUAAAACACAACCAAAGUUGCUUAUUAAAAAGCAGGGCAGGGUUUCAGGGAUGGAAGACAUGGAAGUAUAAAAUUAAACUUGAGUAGGAUCACUGCCUUUUAUGGAGCUGCAGGAAACCCUUCUCAUCUCUGUUACAUCCUGGUAAAGUUAACAACUUUUAUUGGAUUCAGGAUGGCCCAAUUGCAUCAUACCAUAGAACUCGCACCUCCAAUAUUCCAUCAACCAGCAAAACACAUGCAAUUAGUUUGUUUUGAAUUUUGUUGAUCAUUCUUUAUCUCCUAAAACUAUUUGGGUAGUAAAUCAUGUGUACUGUAAUGACAGAAGAAUUGAUUAAACUGGAGCCCCUGUGCUGCUUAAUCCAAACCACCCAUUCAUGAGUCUGGCAGCUCUUUCUGCUUUUGGAGCAAUAGGAAGUUCUAACCUAGUUUACACCGGUAGGAGCAGAUAGUACCGCAAUCAGGAUCUGGAUACUUACUGAUCCCACACCUUUGCAAAUCUGGUUUAACAAUGCCAGACUUAGGUCUCUAAGUCUUGUGACUAUCCCAAAGCAACCCUUCCCCCCAUCUUUUUUUUUUUUUUUUUAACUCAUGAUACCAUUUAACAGUGUGGUAUCUUCUAAUACCCUAUCUAGA